CCUUGACAUCCACGGAAUUUGGCAGAGAUGCCUUAGUGGCCUUCGGGAACCGUGAGACAGGUGCUGCAUGGCUGUCGUCAGCUCGUGUUGUGAAAUGUUGGGUUAAGUCCCGCAACGAGCGCAACCCUUAUCCUUUGUUGCCAGCGGCUCGGCCGGGAACUCAAAGGAGACUGCCGGUGAUAAACCGGAGGAAGGUGGGGAUGACGUCAAGUCAUCAUGGCCCUUACGGCCAGGGCUACACACGUGCUACAAUGGCGCAUACAAAGAGAAGCGACCUCGCGAGAGCAAGCGGACCUCAUAAAGUGCGUCGUAGUCCGGAUUGGAGUCUGCAACUCGACUCCAUGAAGUCGGAAUCGCUAGUAAUCGUAGAUCAGAAUGCUACGGUGAAUACGUUCCCGGGCCUUGUACACACCGCCCGUCACACCAUGGGAGUGGGUUGCAAAAGAAGUAGGUAGCUUAACCUUCGGGAGGGCGCUUACCACUUUGUGAUUCAUGACUGGGGUGAAGUCGUAACAAGGUAGGCGUAGAUGA
rnacentral:rRNA from 1 species